rnacentral:rRNA from 1 species
GUGGGGAAUUUUGGACAAUGGGCGCAAGCCUGAUCCAGCAAUGCCGCGUGUGUGAAGAAGGCCUUCGGGUUGUAAAGCACUUUUGUCCGGAAAGAAAUCUCCUGGAUUAAUACCUCGGGGGGAUGACGGUACCGGAAGAAUAAGCACCGGCUAACUACGUGCCAGCAGCCGCGGUAAUACGUAGGGUGCGAGCGUUAAUCGGAAUUACUGGGCGUAAAGCGUGCGCAGGCGGCUCUGCAAGACAGAUGUGAAAGCACCGGGCUCAACCUGGGAACUGCAUUUGUGACUGCAAGGCUAGAGUGCGUCAGAGGGAGGUGGAAUUCCGCGUGUAGCAGUGAAAUGCGUAGAGAUGCGGAGGAACACCGAUGGCGAAGGCAGCCUCCUGGGAUGACACUGACGCUCAUGCACGAAAGCGUGGGGAGCAAACAGGAUUAGAAACCCUGGUAGUCC